UGCGUUUACGUUACGUAUACUUAACUUCCAGUGGCAACGACAGAGCAGGGGCUGGGGAAUGUGGCAGCUGUAUCCUGGACAGACGAACUGAGUCAGCACUUAAUUUUUAUUUGAUUCUCGUCUCAGUUGCGGUUCAGCUGCUUGACUUGCCACUCCGCUGUGGAGUGGGAGUCCGGGAGUCCUGACAGUCCCUGGAGUCGAGAGACAAGCCCACAGCAAAG